CAGUGACCAAUUUAACGGCCGCGGUACCCUAACCGUGCAAAGGUAGCAUAAUCACUUGUUUCUUAAAUGGGGACUAGUAUCAAUGGCAUCACGAAGACUACACUGUCUCCCCUUUAAAAUCAAUGAAACUGAUCCCCUCGUGAAGAAGCGAGGAUAUAAAUAUAAGACGAGAAGACCCCAUGGAGCUUUAAACGAACUUCAAUUGCUCCCCUCCUUACCAUAUAAGUUGAGCACUAAUGAUAGGUAGUUUUCGGUUGGGGCGACCGCGGAGUAAAACAAAACCUCCACAAUGAAUGUAAUUAAUACUAAUAAAAGAACCACAAUUCUAAUAAUCAAAAAUUUGACAUAAAUUGACCCAAACACUUGAUCAAUGAACCAAGUUACCCUGGGGAUAACAGCGCAAUCCAUUUUAAGAGCCCUUAUCGACAAAUGGGUUUACGACCUCGAUGUUGGAUCAGGGUAUCCCAGUGGUGCAGCCGCUACUAAUGGUUCGUUUG
rnacentral:rRNA from 1 species